AAUGAACGCUGGCGGCAGGCCUAAUACAUGCAAGUCGAGCGGAGCGGCGGACGGGUGAGUAAUGCCUAGGAAUCUGCCUGUGAGUGGGGGAUCACGUCCGGAAACGGGCGCUAAUAACGCAUAAUAGAAACUGAGCCUAGGUCGAAUUAGCUAGUUGGUGGGGUAAAGGCCUACCAAGGCGACGAUCCGUAACUGGCCUGAGAGGAUGAUCAGUCACACUGGGACUGAGACACGGUCCAGACUCCUACGGGAGGCAGCAGUGGGGAAUCUUGGACAAUGGGCGAAAGCCUGAUCCAGCCAUGCCGCGUGUGUGAAGAAGGUCGUCGGAUUGUAAAGCUCUUUUGUUAGGGAAGCGUUACCUAAAGAGAAAGCACCGGCUAACUUCGUGCCAGCAGCCGCGGUAAUAC
rnacentral:rRNA from 1 species